AGCGAACGCUGGCGGCAGGCAUAACACAUGCAAGUCGAACGGAUCCUUCGGGAUUAGUGGCGGACGGGUGAGUAACACGUGGGAACGUGCCCUUUGGUUCGGAACAACUCCGGGAACCUUGAGCUAAUACCGGAUGUGCCUUUCGGGGGAAAGGGUUAUCGCCAUUGGAGCGGCCCGCGUCUGAUUAGCUAGUUGGUGGGGUCAAGGCAGACAAAGGCGACGAGCAGUAGCUGGUCUGAGAGGAUGAUCAGCCACAUUGGGACUGAGACACGGCCCAAACGCCUACGGGAGGCAGCAGUGGGGAACCUUUCGCAAUAGGCGAAAGCCUGACGCAGCCAUGCCGCGUGAAUGAUGAAGGUCUUAGGAUUGUAAAAUUCUUUCACCGGGGACGAUAAUGACGGUACCCGGAGAAGAAGCCCCGGCUAACUUCGUGCCAGCCGCCGCGGUAAUAC
rnacentral:rRNA from 1 species